rnacentral:lncRNA from 1 species
CACUAAUUUUGGGGCUGGUCCUGGGAAUUGGUAUUCCCCUCCUGUUACUGCUGUUGCUGGCGGCCCUCGCCUGCUUCUGCUGCUGCUCACGCAAGAAAACAAUCUCUGGAGAUAUUCCUCAUCUGCUGCCCGAGUACAUUCAGGAGCAGUUCAACCCUCCGUUCAACUUUGACGACCCCUCUCUGCACUACAUCACCCACGUCAGCCCGCGUAUCCUUGACAACCUCACACCUCAACAGAAGCGCCGGUAUCGAUAACACAGGCCCUUAUUCCUCAUCUGCUGCCCGAGUACAUUCAGGAGCAGUUCAACCCUCCGUUCAACUUUGACGACCCCUCUCUGCACUACAUCACCCACGUCAGCCCGCGUAUCCUUGACAACCUCACACCUCAACAGAAGCGCCGGUAUCGAUAACACAGGCCCUGUGCGGUUCAUGCAGCAUCAGUGCAGAUGUAUAUAUCUGUACAUUUGUGUGAUCUCGAUAUGAUAUUAUUUAUAUUAAAAA